rnacentral:rRNA from 1 species
CCUACGGGUGGCAGCAGUGGGGAAUAUUGCGCAAUGGGCGAAAGCCUGACGCAGCGACGCCGCGUGAGGGAUGAAGGUCUUCGGAUCGUAAACCUCUGUCGGCAGGGAAGAACGGUCACUGUGCUAAUCAGCAGUGACUUGACGGUACCUGCAAAGGAAGCACCGGCUAACUCCGUGCCAGCAGCCGCGGUAAUACGGAGGGUGUUAGCGUUUAUCGGAAUUACUGGGCGUAAAGGGCUCGUAGGCGGUAUGUCAAGUCAAGGGUGAAAUCCCCGCGCUCAACGUGGGAACUGCCUUUGAAACUGGCAAACUUGAGUGUGUGAGAGGAUAGUGGAAUUCCAGGUGUAGGAGUGAAAUCCGUAGAUAUCUGGAGGAACACCAGUGGCGAAGGCGGCCUGCUGGACGGUGACUGACGCUGAGGCUCGAAAGCGUGGGGAGCAAACAGGAUUAGAUACCCUAGUAGUC